UUAUAAAACAACGAAAAUUUUUAAUCUAAACUGGCUAACUGCUGUAAAAUUGUAUAAAAGUUUCCUUUUCCCCGAGUUAACAGUUUUCUGAGGCAGCACUGAUGCCAUGCUUCGGAUAAGCUGAAUUCUACCAUAGCCUGAAAUAAAAAGUGUUGGUUCCAAAAAACUUUGCAAACAGUUAAUGGGAUUGUCAAAAUGACUUAAAAAUACAUGCUUCAAAUCCUGUUUCGUCCAUUUCUAAACCUGUUUAUAAUGAAAAAACGAUAAUCCAUGAAUGAAAGAACAUCGAAUUUUUUCUAAGAAUAUCAAUGUGUAACUCUUUUAAAGGAAAGCUGCUCGAAACUCCUGUGCAUUCAGACAUCGGCAGGUCGCCCGAACACCGAUGUACCUUUUCUACCUCGUGUAUAUUCUUUCCAUAACGCUAGUGCUUGGCGUUUUGGCUUCGGGAGUUGUUAAAUGACAUGCCAAUCAUUCUAAGCGACUAAAAGUAGAUCUCUUAUUUGAAUGCACCUUCCCUCUCUGUUAUUUCGUGUCAAGGUUUAGCUACUGAUGCUAGCAGAUGCAAUCUUCUCCUAAGGGGAAACUGCACAAAGUAGGUGAAACCGCAUAAUGAUCCCCAAGAGAGAAAACCGUUUCACUGAAAAAGGUUAUUAUUAACGCUGUAGCAUUCUACUUGGCACAGGGAAACGAAAUCCCUUCCAACAAAUAUUUCGUAUAUAUGGGCCUUUCAGAUGCAUUUGCACAGAUUUUGGCCUCUACCAUUGGGAUAGUGUUAUCGCAGCAGAGUUAAAUUAUAGAUAGUGCAUAUGUUUUUAUUGUGUUUUAUAUUGUGUAUUAUUUUUCUUGGCCUACUAAUUAAAAAUUAUUUUUUAUUUAUUUCAGGUAAGUGAUAUCGUACUUCUUUGCUUACUGAAUUCUUUGGCCAAGGUUGACUCUGGAGAUGUUGCGUAAAUGUCGUAACUAACUUCGUUUUCAGCUUUGUACAGUUUUGUAAAGUGAAUUCAGGACGACGAUUUUCGAGAUUUAACAGAAGCUUUAGGAUUUGGAUUGGAGUUGAGGAUUUUCUUGCUACUUUUUAUGUAAAGCAUGUUAACUCAUAGGAAUAAAGAGGAUUUACUACGAAAUGGAUUUCAUUUAUGUUGGCUUUGCUAUCAAGAAAUAGUUUACUUUAAAAUACUUUUUAUGUACUACGUUACUUCUGUUGUUGCUUUUUUUGCUAUUUGUAAUAAAAUGCUUCUCUAAAAUGUA